rnacentral:snoRNA from 1 species
UAGGUCCUGAAUCAAAACCCGUGGUUUGCUGUAGCUGCUGGUUUCAAACAGGAGCCAAGAGUGGUGUCUUCCUCGUGGUCUGUUGACUAUUCCACAUCCCGGUGUGAAUGGCCUAUUCCAUAGGAAGAAACAGUC